rnacentral:misc_RNA from 1 species
UCCGAGUUGACCCCGGCAGUCUUCGAUGAGUCCCCGCCAUAACGCGCUGGCAACAUCGAACGAGGGUUGCGCUCGUUGCGGGACUUAACCCAACAUCUCACGACACGAGCUGACGACAGCCAUGCACCACCUGUGAACCUGCCCCGAAGGGAAGCCCUGUUUCCAGGGCGGUCAGGCACAUGUCAAGCCUAGGUAAGGUUCUUCGCGUUGCGUCGAAUUAAACCACAUGCUCCACCGCUUGUGCAGGCCCCCGUCAAUUCCUUUGAGUUUCACCCUUGCGGGCGUACUCCCCAGGUGGAUAACUUAACGCUUUCGCUAAGACGCUGACUGUGUAUCGCCAACAUCGAGUUAUCAUCGUUUACAGCGUGGACUAC